UACUUAUAUUGUCAUGAUUAAAGGUUACAAAUUUAAGGUAAGUUAUUUAACGAUUUAAACAAUGUACGUCGUUUACAAAUUUCAAAGACAAACAAAUAUAAAAAAAAAAAAACAAUUUAUCAGAAACGAACCAGAGAGGAAUAAGAUACAGAAUGUAAAUACAAACGCAUAAGUCGAAAAGGAACCGACAAUGCAAUUGCAAAAACACAAGAAGCAACCAAAAGACAAACAAUAAUUUAUAAACAAUCCUAUGAAAAACCAGGCG
rnacentral:lncRNA from 1 species